UGCUUACUGCAUUUUUUCUUACACAUGUGUUUUUCCUUUUUUUGAAAACUUUGCUUUGGUAGGCCUUCUAUAUGGGGCCUGCCAGAGAUUAAACUCAACCAAAUUUUAUUUAAUGUCAACCGAUUAUUUAAUAGUCAAAACUUUCAACAACGGAUCUCUUGGUUCUCGCAUCGAUGAAGAACGCAGCGAAAUGCGAUAAGUAAUAUGAAUUGCAGAUAUUCGUGAAUCAUCGAAUCUUUGAACGCACAUUGCGCCCUUUGGUAUUCCAAAGGGCAUGCCUGUUUGAGCGUCAUUUCUCCCUCAAACCCUCGGGUUUGGUGUUGAGCGAUACGCUGGGUUUGCUUGAAAGAAAGGCGGAGUAUAAACUAAUGGAUAGGUUUUUUCCACUCAUUGGUACAAACUCCAAAACUUCUUCCAAAUUCGACCUCAAAUCAGGUAGGACUACCCGCUGAACUUAAGCAUAUCAAUAAGCGGAGGAAAAGAAACCAACAGGGAUUGCCUUAGUAGCGGCGAGUGAAGCGGCAAAAGCUCAAAUUUGAAAUCUGGCACUUUCAGUGUCCGAGUUGUAAUUUGAAGAAGGUAUCUUUGGGUCUGGCUCUUGUCUAUGUUUCUUGGAACAGAACGUCACAGAGGGUGAGAAUCCCGUGCGAUGAGAUGUCCCAGACCUAUGUAAAGUUCCUUCGAAGAGUCGAGUUGUUUUGGGAAUGCAGCUCUAAGUGGGUGGUAAAUUCCAUCUAAAGCUAAAUAUUGGCGAGAGACCGAUAGCGAACAAGUACAGUGAUGGAA
rnacentral:rRNA from 1 species